AGACGUCCUCAUAAUCAAACCCCCUCUAAUCAUAUUGCCACAUUCAAUAAGGAAUUCCAAAGAUCUUGCUCAUUAUUUUUCUCUUCUCAAAACGUCAGUCAAGUGCCGAUUCCAUCCCACCCCUGUUAAGUUGUGUUCCAGCGUCUUGAGUUUUCAUUUUCCUUUCAUGCUCCCCAGAUACUAAACUCGAUCUAGGUUGUUUUGUUUGUUGCAGGAGGCAAGGUUAAGCAGGUGAACGACCAGGUCUCGGUGGUCUGCAAGGGAGGUGAUGAUGGUGGUUGUUCUGCUUCUUCAAUUCAAAAUACACAAUAAAGACAAGAUUCUAUUCUUUUACUGCCGAUGCACUUCGAUGCGAACAAGAACGUGGUUCUGGAAAUAAAGAAAAGUGAUGAUUCUGAAGAGACAUUGCUUGAAAACAAAAGGCUUGUGGUGGAGGCAGUAGAAAAGCUGGUAAAACGGAAGAAGAGAUAUUGAUUCACAUGUUUCAACUAUUUAAAUUGAAUGUCAAAGGAUGAGCCAACCGCACUUGAUAUAAAAAAGGACCCUGAAAGCAUGUGAGAUGAUGAAGAUUGUAUAAAAGAUUCAUGGGAAGAUGAAGUUGAACCCUCUCUGUGGUAGCACCUCCUGUUGUGAAGGCCCUAAAGAAGUCAACAGUCAAACCGGCUCCAAGAAAAAGGGAUACCUGUUGUUGAAGUAGCAAAAGAGGUGCCAUUUUAAACAAGCUUUGUAUUUCAGGCUCGAGCUCGGGCUCAAUAACUAAAUGAAUAUGGAAGUAUAAAUGGCUUCAUAAAGUUUUGGAUUUAAUAUGUUGAUCGACUGUGCUCAGCGACUGUGGUUUCUUGACACAUACACUGGAGGAUACAGAGUUCAUCGCGAUAUAAAGGUAACUAAGCCAUUUAAUGUUGCUUUUUCUAAUAGUCUGUGGUGAUUUUACUGUUUAGAUUUCGGCAGCCUCACGCAACUCGAACUGGGUUCGUUGUUACGAUCAUUAGGCCUUACACCGAGCCCUGAUCAACUGGAUGCAUUGAUACAGAAAGCGGAUACUAAUAGUAAUGGUUUUGUGCAUUGAUGUUGUAUUAUCUUGCACUACACAUUUGGAUAAUUGAGAUUCUCAUAAUACCAUUUAAUAUUAUGUGCAACUAACAAUUACGUGAACAGGUACUCAAUAGAGUUUUCGACCAGUCGGAAACCGCAAAUGCUCCACUUGGUUGGCCAUAAUUUGGUUGUUUUGCGUCAGUUUGUUUUGUCCCUUCGUAACUUGGCAAGGGUUUGAUCCGUAUAGGGAUUGUCAGAUCCAACUGACAGGUGCAGGCAACAAAGAUUAUGGGAGUCAUAAAGGCGAUUAUUUUCUCUGGAUCAAAACAAGGGCGGGAUAUGCAGAUCUGGAAUGGGAUAAAUGGAGAACUUUUAAUUUCAGCAAUUUCCCGAUGUGGAACAGAAUAUUGGGUUUGUGCAGAAGAAAAGGGAUGAUGUGGCAUUUUUAGUUUUUCACCGAAAGACCAUGAGUCUGUUGAUCAAUUUUCACUUAAGAACUUUUUUUUACAGUAAUUCUUAUGUAUUAGCUUUGUGUUUUAACCACUUCACACAACACAACAUUUGAUGACAUUUUUCAUGAUAGUUUAACCAUGGACUGGUCAAAACGUCCGAAA